rnacentral:rRNA from 1 species
UACAGAGGGGGCAAGCGUUGUUCGGAAUUACUGGGCGUAAAGGGCGCGUAGGCGGCAAUUCAAGUCAUCUGUGAAAUCUCCGGGCUUAACUCGGAACGGUCAGAUGAUACUGCUUUGCUCGAGUGCGGAAGGGGCAAUCGGAAUUCUUGGUGUAGCGGUGAAAUGCGUAGAUAUCAAGAGGAACACCUGAGGUGAAGACGGGUUGCUGGGCCGACACUGACGCUGAAGCGCGAAAGCCAGGGGAGCAAACGGG